CCUACGGGAGGCAGCAGUGGGGAAUAUUGCACAAUGGGGGAAACCCUGAUGCAGCGAAGCCGCGUGAAGGAAGAAGGAUUUCGGUAUGUAAACUUCUAUCAGCAGGGAAGAAAAUGAUGGUACCUGACUAAGAAGCGCCGGCUAACUACGUGCCAGCAGCCGCGGUAAAACGGAGGGGGCAAGCGUUAUCCGGAUUUACUGGGUGUAAAGGGAGCGGAGGCGGUUUAGCAAGGCAGACGUGAAGGCCCGCGGCCACACUCCGGGACUGCUUUUGAAACUGUUGAACUAGAUUGCAGGAGAGGUAUGUGGAAUGCCUAGUGUAGCGGUGAAAUGCAUAGAUAUUACGAAGAACACCAGUGGCGAAGGCGGCUUACUGGACUGUAAAUGACGCUGAGGCUCGAAAGCGUGGGGAGCAAACAGGAUUAGAUACCCCUGUAGUC
rnacentral:rRNA from 1 species